GCAAUACACCGCUGGCGACCGGCGCACGGGUGAGUAACACGUAUCCAACCUGCCCUUUACUCGGGGAUAGCCUUUCGAAAGAAAGAUUAAUACCCGAUGGUAUAACAUGACCUCCUGGUUUUGUUAUUAAAGAAUUUCGGUAGAGGAUGGGGAUGCGUUCCAUUAGGCAGUUGGCGGGGUAACGGCCCACCAAACCUUCGAUGGAUAGGGGUUCUGAGAGGAAGGUCCCCCACAUUGGAACUGAGACACGGUCCAAACUCCUACGGGAGGCAGCAGUGAGGAAUAUUGGUCAAUGGGCGAGAGCCUGAACCAGCCAAGUAGCGUGAAGGAUGACCGCCCUAUGGGUUGUAAACUUCUUUUAUAUGGGAAUAAAGUUUGCCACGUGUGGCAUUUUGUAUGUACCAUAUGAAUAAGGAUCGGCUAACUCCGUGCCAGCAGCCGCGGUAAUGCGGAGGAUCCGAGCGUUAUCCGGAUUUAUUGGGUUUAAAGGGAGCGUAGGUGGACAUGUAAGUCAGUUGUGAAAGUUUGCGGCUCAACCGUAAAAUUGCAGUUGAUACUGCGUGUCUUGAGUACAGUAGAGGUGGGCGGAAUUCGUGGUGU
rnacentral:rRNA from 1 species